UGCAGGGCAAAGCGAUGGUCGCUUGUCGCUCUCAUAAGGCGAAUGGUGCGGGUUCGAGUCCCGUCUCUGCAA
rnacentral:tRNA from 1 species